AAUUGUCGUAAAUCGAUGCGCGUAUGAGACAUGAGGAUAGAAAGGGUUUGAACCCUAUAGGGGUCGGCGGUUCCUUCUCUCCCGCCUCGACCACCUCCUUUUGUCUCUCCUUUUUCCCAAUUUUUUUUUUUUUUUAGGGUUUCCGCCAUUAAACAUUAAAGAAGCUACAGGGGAAGCCGUCCCCGGUUCAAGAAUGCUAUGAUUCGUUCCUUGCUGUUCCGUGUUCACCAUCUUGGAGAUUUCCAUCUUUUGCGGUGUAAUCUUCUUGCUUCUUCCGGAAAGAGAUGAACUCGGCCAUGGCGUUAGCGUCGGUUCCUGUGGCCUUUGGUUCCCUCCCAAAAAUGAGUACUUUGGGCUUUUUCUUUGCCCCCAUCAAAUGCUUCUUUUUGGGUUCAGUCGUCAGGUUAUUUUUUCCCUUUUUCUGAUUGUAGGAUGAAGCUUGGAUACGGGGUUCAAGUAGAAGAGAUGUUAGAGGUCUCGGGGUAUAAUUUGCCGAUAAAAGCAUGGAUAAGGGGCUUGCAAUUUGCCGAUAAAAGGAUGUCAAAAUCCGAGAAAAAGGAUUAUGUUGGAGGUCUUGGGGUAUAAAGUAUUAGUAGCAAAAGAAACUGGUUUGAAAAUAUUUAACAUCAAAAGUCCAAAAAUAUUAACCUUGAUAAGGGAUAUUGAUGCUAUAGAAUAUUUUCAUAUGCUUUUCGGUACCAAUUAUUAACCUUACCCUUCGACGACAGCUUCCUAAUGAUGAGUAUCUUUAAGAGUUCAGCACUCUACUAAUACUUGUGUUUAUCCUGUUUAUACUUGAGCAUAUUUCUCAUACUCAUUUGGUCUUAGAAUAAGUUUAUUUUUCCUUUUUUUUUUUUUGAGAAGAAAGAUGGGCUAUUCAUCAGUUCAUUCUGGAGCAUGUAUUUCUUGCAAGUUACAAGUGUCACAUGACCUAUCCUCUUAUACUGGAUACCUCUAUGAUUAGUUCAGUAAAACCAUGAAUCAGACAUCAAUAUCCCUGGUCAACAAAGUUGAACCAAUACCUUCCUGGAGAUUCCUGCAAAUAAAUGCUAAGUGCCAUUGUCUCGUGCCUGUUAGGUUGCGAGGGAGCUUUCAAAUUUAGUAUUUCUUUCUUUGAAGUAUGUAAUUUAUGAACAAAAGAAAAUCUUUAAUCCCUUUUUUGGUUUGGUUUAUAGAUUUUGCUCAGCUGAUGCUGACCCUGUCAUAUUUGUUUUAAAUUGCAUAAUUAAUAAUGAUACCAGACAGCACUGUGCUGUUCUGGUUAUCUGAUGAGAUAUCACCUUGUUUUUUUCUCCCAUUAUUUAUUUUGCCAGUUUUAAUUUUCUUUCAACUUGCUCUCUCUCCAGAUCUGUACUCUCUGCACUUUCAGCUAAGCAAUAUGCUAUAUGGGAUCUCAGAAUGUCAUAAAUCUUGGUGUUCCUUUCCUUGUGUAAUAAAUGCGAUGGCUGGCCAAGCUGGUGGACCUGAGAAACUGGACAUUGAUGGCAUAGUCAGUCAACUAAGAAAUUUAUCAGACAGAUUUUCCUUAACCAAUUAAGAGUUUCCCAUGGACCAAAGUGAUGAUCAACUUUUGCCCACUUGUUGUUGAACUCCCUUGGGCACCUGCAAAGUAUCUUUGUAUACCACUGCUGGCUAUUAUGUCAUUAAGUGAGAUGUCAUACUGUGCUCAUGAAAGGAGGAUGGUUCUCGUACCCAUCCCCUUUCUUUCUCUGUUUGCUAUAGCUGGAAUCUUGAAGGAUACAGCAACAGAACUUUCACUAGAUCUCAAGGAAGGAGGAUUUCCAGGGCAUCUACUUUUGAUUGUAAUUUUCUUUAUGUUGCUAAAAUUGCCUAGCCCAUAUCAUCCAUACUGGGCGCCUGAUCAUUCCUCAUUUUGCAAAUGGUGUUAUGGAGGAUUUUCUGGUUAGCACUGUGGUAUAGAGUAAGGUACGCCAUAUCGGCCCGAAUCAAACAGUACAAGGCGUACAGUACCGUACUGGUUCGGUACCAGUAUUCGGUUAUGGGUGGCAUACCAAUACUCGAUAUGCCAAAAAAAUUUCGUACCGUACCGACGUUGUGCUAGUGUGGUACCGGUAUGGGUUCAGCACCGAGACGGUGAACCUUGGUAUAGAGUGCCUCAAGGGACACGUGAGAUGGCAUUGGAGGAAUCUGUAGCUGACAAUCUCUCUGAAGAAAAGAAAUAACAAUCUCUCCUGCAACAAAAGCAGUCAAACAAUUGCUUUUUUCUGACAGUUCUGUAGGUCCAUGCUCUUAUAGGUAAAAGUGGCCAAUUACCAUUCCUUUUUACUUACAUGUGGCUGGGGUCUACAAAAAUGAGAUGCCAGGUUGGGCUGCAGAACAUGAGAGGUGUGUGGUACAUGGGGUGUAAACCUACAGAGAUGCACACUAAGCAAUGCUCUUGGUAUGUAUUUAUGACAACAUUAAACCAUGAUUUGCUUUAAUCUACACCAUUCUUAAGAGGUGCUCCCGGUGGGAGGUCUCAUCUCUUUGUUACAGCUGAAUUCCUACUUCUCAAUAUCGUUGUCCUGCUUAUCUAAUUAAUAAAAUCCAUGCUUUUUUGAAAGUUCAUCAUCGUUCAUGCCUCUUAGCUCUGUCCUUGGGCAAACCUUUUUCAGCAAAGUCUUAAACUCAUGCAUGAAGUGUCAGCACAGCUUUAGGGGCCAAAUAUAGCAUUACCUGAGGGGUUUGUUGUCAUUUUCAUUAUUCUAUUAUGAGCAGAAACCAUGUUCUUUAGCAUCAUAUUAGUUGUUAGCCCACCUAACCACUUGACGGUCACCAUUAUUAAUGCUUAGUAACCUCUCCGCUGUUUACAACAGAACACAUCCUCAAGGCUGGAGGCCUGUUGUUAAGUUUUGUGAGUAUUAAACAUGAAACCUUUUUUCCCCCUUUCCAAGUGCACAACCAACAAAGUGCCAACUUCCCCCCAAGGACUGAGGUUGCUCUCUGUUGGUACUGUUCAACAUUGUUGCAUUUCUAUGACCUGUAUUUUAAAUCUUAUGUAGCUUUAUUUUUUUGCCCUCUUCAUCUACCCAAUAGAGAAUGACACUGUAACAACAUCUAAUUUGUUGCCUGUUUCAUUUGAUAGGUAAUAAAUGAGUGGUGGGUGGAUGGACUGUACUUAAAAACAUGCUUUUGUUAAAUUCUGCUGGGAGGGGCCGACAUACGACAGCCCUAUGUCAACACAUGUUGGUCACGCAGAUUGUGCAUUGAAAUUUCUUUCUUUGCGAACUGUAUUUCUGAAGCAAGUAUUAAGUUUGUGGUUGCAGAGAUUGAUUGUACCAAGUUAUUCAACUCUUGUGAAGGAGGCUUUGUAUUUGUGUAUUUGGGCAUCACUCAUAAUGUAGAAUGUCUAUCGAACAUGAUGAGUUUAAUCACUGAUUGUCCAUCUGAUGGUGACUUGCACUGGCAUGCUAUCUAAUUCUUAAUUCUAUGCUCAAGGAUAUCACAUGUACAUGCUAUCCCACAGUGCUUGGUAGUAAAUUCUCUUGGUUCUUGUCUUUGUAGGCUAAUGCCAGCAUUAGGCGGAUUGGCUCCGGAAUCAAGUCUGAAGAACAAAACAGGCCGCCGCUUAGGUCCAGCUUGAGGAUCCAGGGCAGGAAGAUAGCUCCGUCUAGUGCGAGGCUAUCUAUGGGAGGCAUCUUCAUUACAUUUUCUAGUAAAAUUUGCUGCCUUGGAAGUAGUAUUGCCUAAGAUGGCACGACUUAUCUUGUUUAAAAAGGGAUUUUAAUUCAGCAGGCAUGACAAGGGCAAUGUAAGAUCUUCAUCAGAGUCAAGAGAUCAAAUGCAUGUUAAUUGGUGGUAGGUCUAGUAGGAGCAGGCAAAAUUUUUGGGAAGAAUGUUGAUGCAAGCAACACAGAAAGAUGCAUAUCAGCUCCUUCAACAAGGACGCAUCACCUAAUUUUUUUUGUGCACAUGAGAUUGUUAUUUAUUUCUGCAUAUAAAUUCACUUUGAUUAAUGAACAUGAGGUCCCAUGCAGGACCAUUUAUAUGUGA